UCCCUGGUGGUCCAGUGACUAAGACUCUGUGCUUCCAAUGCAGAAGGCCUGGGUGCAAUUCCUGGUCAGGGAA
rfam:Ovis aries breed Texel chromosome 10, whole genome shotgun sequence.